CUACAUCAACAACCGCCAGGACAUUACGAGCCAAGCUUAAAACCCAAAGGACUUGACGGCGCCCCAAAUCCCUCUAGAGGAGCCUGUUCUAUAAUCGAUAACACCCGUUAUACCUCACCACCCCUUGCCACAUUCAGCCUGUAUACCUCCGUCGCCAGCUCACCACAUGAGCGAACAUUAGUGAACUCAAUGGCCCCCGCCAAUACGUCAGGUCAAGGUGCAGCAUAUGUUGUGGGCAGAAAUGGGCUACACUUCCUACCCCCCUAGGAUACACAGAUGACCUAAUGAAACCUGGUCAGAAGGCGGAUUUAGCAGUAAAAGAGAGAUAGAGCACCUCUUUUAACUCGGCCCUGGGGCAUGUACACACCGCCCGUCACCCUCUUCGAGUACAUAUAUAUACGAUAAUUAACAUCUUUUUUUCCCCCUAGAAGAGGUAAGUCGUAACAAGGUAGGUGUAUCGGAAGAUGCACCUGGAACAACAAAGUGUAGCUUAAAUUAAAGCAACUUGCUUACACCAAGUCGAUGCCUGAUAACCCAGACCACUUUGCGCCUAACACUUAGCCCCCCCCCCCCCCCGUUUCUGUAAACCUAAAGCAUUCUAACCUUCUAGUAGAGGCGAUCGAAAAAUACCCUGGAGCUAUAACACGCGUACCGCAAGGGAAAAGUGAAAUAAUAAUGAAACAUCAAAAAGCACUAAAUAGCAGAGAC
rnacentral:misc_RNA from 1 species